rnacentral:lncRNA from 1 species
UUAAUUACAUGUAAUUGUUUAUUUAAAAUAAUUUUCCAAGUCUUCCAAUGAUUUAACAGGCUUUGCUUCACUUUUAUCAUCUCAAACAGCUAUAAAUCAACACACUUUUUGUAUUUUAUUUUACUACUAUGUAUGCUAUUUUAAUAACAUUUUUCUUUAUUAAUACUAGAACCAAAUAUAUUGACCAAUAAGCAGUAUAGAUUUAAAUUAUCUUCUUGGGUUGGUCUGAGGUUGCUGAUGGAUUCUUGGGAUUGAUCUGAUGCUAGAAGCUAUCUUAGGCCCUGUCUCUAACUCACUGUAUGUUUCAGGCAAAACAUGCCACGGUUCUAGGUCUGUUUUCUCAUCUGCAAAAUAAACACCCAAAUUAGAUGAUACUUACUGUUUUAACUAGCUAUAAAAUUCCAAUACUAUAUUCCCCAUCAUUUUCACUUACUUUUACUUAAUCUUUAUUUGCUACUUUUCCACCUAUAAAGCGUAAUUUUCCAUAUCAAGUAAACAUAAAUUCAUUAAAAAAUAAACACAAACCCAAAAUAUUCUUAUUCUAAUAUAUCUGCAUUAAUAGAUAAAAAGGCUUUAGCUUUAAUUUUCAUUUUUCAUUUCUACCUCUUAAAGUCAAUGAUAAACUCACAAGUGUAAAAUGAAUGCAUUUAAAAACAUAAAAGAUACAUUUCAAUGACAAGAAAUAUGCAAUGAUCAUGAAAAUCUACUGUACACUUUGCCAUGGUCAAAGAAUGAAGGACAAUAUGGAAAAGCCAAUCUUCAAAUAUAUCCUUAACAAAAACUCUCUCCUGCAUAGUAAAAGCAUCAUCUAAACAGCAGCUCCAACC